CAGGACGAACGCUGGCGGCGUGCCUAACACAUGCAAGUCGAGCGGAGACAUACGGCGGAUUGAAGUUUCGGAUGGAAAUGAAGAUGUAUGUUUAGCGGCGGACGGGUGAGUAACGCGUGAGCAACCUGUCCUUCACAGGGGGAUAACACAGCGAAAGUUGUACUAAUACCGCAUAAGACCACGGGACCGCAUGGUACUGGGGUCAAAGGAGCAAUCCGGUGAAGGGUGGGCUCGCGUCCGAUUAGAUAGUUGGUGAGGUAACGGCCCACCAAGUCGACGAUCGGUAGCCGACCUGAGAGGGUGAUCGGCCACAUUGGGACUGAGACACGGCCCAAACUCCUACGGGAGGCAGCAGUGGGGAAUAUUGGGCAAAUGGGGGAAACCCUGACCCAGCAACGCCGCGUGAGGGAAGAAGGUUUUCGGAUCGUAAACCUCUGUCCUUGGUGAAGAGGAAGAGACGGUAGCCAAGGAGGAAGCCCCGGCUAACUACGUGCCAGCCGCGGC
rnacentral:rRNA from 1 species